GGUGAGUAACGCGUGGGAACGUGCCCUUUGGUUCGGAAUAGCCCUUGGAAACGAGGAGUAAUGCCGAAUGUGCCCUUCGGGGGAAAGAUUUAUCGCCAAAGGAUCGGCCCGCGUUAGAUUAGCUAGUUGGUGAGGUAAUGGCUCACCAAGGCGACGAUCUAUAGCUGGUCUGAGAGGAUGAUCAGCCACACUGGGACUGAGACACGGCCCAGACUCCUACGGGAGGCAGCAGUGGGGAAUCUUGGACAAUGGGCGCAAGCCUGAUCCAGCCAUUCCGCGUGGAUGAUGAAGGCCCUAGGGUUGUAAAAUCCUUUCGGCAGGGAAGAUAAUGACGGUACCUGCUAAAGAAGCCCCGGCUAACUCCGUGCCAGCAGCCGCGGUAAUACGGAGGGGGCUAGCGUUGUUCGGAAUUACUGGGCGUAAAGCGCGCGUAGGCGGAUCGAUCAGUCAGAGGUGAAAUCCCGGAGCUCAACUUCGGAACUGCCUUUGAUACUGUCGAUC
rnacentral:rRNA from 1 species